rnacentral:rRNA from 1 species
CUUUACUGUAACUUGGCAGUGAGUUUCGGAUCGUUUUGCGUAGGAUAGGUGGGAGGCGUUGAUCUCGGGCUUCUGGGCUCGGGGGAGCCAACCUUGAAAUACCACCCUGAACGAUCUGGGAUUCUAACCCAGGCCCUCCACGGGGCCGGGGACACUGCCUGGUGGGCAGUUUGACUGGGGCGGUCGCCUCCCAAAACGUAACGGAGGCGCACGAAGGUCACCUCAGGCUGAUUGGAAACCAGCCGUAGAGUGCAAAGGCAGAAGGUGGCUUGACUGUGAGACCGACAGGUCGAACAGGUGCGAAAGCAGGUCUUAGUGAUCCGGUGGUCCCGUAUGGAAGGGCCAUCGCUCAUCGGAUAAAAGGUA